rnacentral:lncRNA from 12 species
AUGAGAACUGGGUAAACACCGGCAGUGUGUGAUCUUUCACAAGAUGGUUGAUCUCCAGAAGUGGAUCCUAGUCCUGUUUACUUCCUCUUCUUUUAAAUAGAAUAUCCAGAGCUUCCGAGGAAAUGCUUUGGGUCUGAAGUGAGUUCUCUAUCUUUGACUUAAUAAAAGACAUGUUGCUCCAGAAUCA